AGAGAGAGAGAGUGAUGGACAAACGGAGAGAGACAGAUGAGACUGCGAGAGAGAGAGAGAGAUGCGAUUCAAAGUUGCAGACGCACAACCAUGUAUUUUCUCCUUCUAGUUGCAGACGCACAGCCAGUUGCCGAGCAAGGAAGAAAGAAGAGCUUCAGUAUCAUCAUCCUGAGGAUGCAAGGUCUAAGUGUUUGUGGGAAAUAGUAACAUGAUAAAAUUGAUCAACAAUCAGAAGAUUUGAAGCAAAGGGUAAAAGGUAAAGAGAGUGGCGGUUCUGUAUAAGGAGAUGUCAGCAUUGCAUAGGAACAAGAGGAAAAAGAGAAUGAAGAAGAAAAAGAAGAGAGUAGUGGAGAGGAAGCAAAAAAAGAGGUAUUUGGGAUGCAAGGAGAACCUUCAUAUUCUUGCAACUAAACAACUCCUACUGAUUUUGAAUUGCAUGGAAGGGGAUAAAGCUGU